rnacentral:rRNA from 1 species
GAUGAACGCUGGCGGCGUGCCUAAUACAUGCAAGUCGAGCGAACAGACGAGGAGCUUGCUCCUCUGACGUUAGCGGCGGACGGGUGAGUAACACGUGGAUAACCUACCUAUAAGACUGGGAUAACUUCGGAAAACCGGAGCUAAUACCGGAUAAUAUAUUGAACCGCAUGGUUCAAUAGUGAAAGACGGUUUUGCUGUCACUUAUAGAUGGAUCCGCGCCGCAUUAGCUAGUUGGUAAGGUAACGGCUUACCAAGGCGACGAUGCGUAGCCGACCUGAGAGGGUGAUCGGCCACACUGGAACUGAGACACGGUCCAGACUCCUACGGGAGGCAGCAGUAGGGAAUCUUCCGCAAUGGGCGAAAGCCUGACGGAGCAACGCCGCGUGAGUGAUGAUGGUCUUCGGAUCGUAAAACUCUGUUAUUAGGGAAGAACAAAUGUGUAAGUAACUAUGCACGUCUUGACGGUACCUAAUCAGAAAGCCACGGCUAACUACGUG